rnacentral:tRNA from 1 species
GCCCUGGUAGUCUAUCGGUUAGGAUGUGGCCCUGUCGAGGCCGCGAGGCGGGUCCGACUCCCGCCCAGGGCG